AGCGAACGCUGGCGGCAGGCCUAACACAUGCAAGUCGAACGAACUCUUCGGAGUUAGUGGCGGACGGGUGAGUAACACGUGGGAACGUGCCUUUUGGUUCGGAAUAACUCAGGGAAACUUGUGCUAAUACCGAAUGUGCCCUUCGGGGGAAAGAUUUAUCGCCAUUAGAGCGGCCCGCGUCUGAUUAGCUAGUUGGUGAGGUAACAGCUCACCAAGGCGACGAUCGGUAGCUGGUCUGAGAGGAUGACCAGCCACACUGGGACUGAGACACGGCCCAGACUCCUACGGGAGGCAGCAGUGGGGAAUCUUGCGCAAUGGGCGAAAGCCUGACGCAGCCAUGCCGCGUGAAUGAUGAAGGUCUUAGGAUUGUAAAAUUCUUUCACCGGGGACGAUAAUGACGGUACCCGGAGAAGAAGCCCCGGCUAACUUCGUG
rnacentral:rRNA from 1 species